rnacentral:tRNA from 1 species
UGUGAAUAAAAAUUCAAUUUCGACUUGAAAAUUUGAUAAUAUUUAUAUUAUCCACAU